GACGAACGCUGGCGGCGUGCUUAACACAUGCAAGUCGAACGGAAAGGCCCUGCUUGCAGGGUCCUCGAGUGGCGAACGGGUGAGUAACACGUGGGUGAUCUGCCCUGCACUUCUGGAUAAGCCUGGGAAACUGGGUCUAAUACCGGAUAGGAGCCAUUUUUAGCGUGAUGGUUGGAAAGUUUUUUCGGUGUAGGAUGAGCUGGCGGCCUAUCAGCUUGUUGGUGGGGUAAUGGCCUACCAAGGCGGCGACGGGUAGCCGGACUGUGAGGGUGGACGGCGACAUUGGGACUGAGAGGCGGCCCAGACUCCUACGGGUGGCAGCAGGGGGGAAUAUUGCACAAUGGGCGCAAGCCGGGUGCAGCGGCGCCGCGUGGGGGAUGACGGCCUUCGGGUUGAAGACAACUUUCGCUAGGGACGAAGCUUUUUGUGACGGUACCUAGAGAAGAAGCACCGGCUAACUACGUG
rnacentral:rRNA from 1 species